rnacentral:misc_RNA from 1 species
UAAAUUUAUAGUGUUUCAUACACUGACCAUGCAAGUCCAUAAACAUCUAUAAAAAUCACUCUAAGUAGCUAUAAAACAUAAAAUUGAUAUGGCAUGGUAAACCAUGUCAAGCUGGUAAAAUCCAGGAGAUGAUGAAAAUAUUGCUCUGUUCGAACUACAUUGGACGAUCUACGCGUUACUGGGAUCAGAAGAAAGGCCAUUUGAUUCAAACCAGGGAUAUCAUGUAUAGAGUUCAGAUUCAAGAAGGAAAUCCUUACUCCGGCCUAAUUUUAGAAAUUCCUCCUCAAGCUUCUUCAUGUCAAUAUGCUUCACGCGGGAGAGGACAUCUUUGAGCAGUAGAGACUUAACGAGUGAUGUAACUGAAACACCGACUUCAGGCCAUGAAACACACAGAGUUCCCCUUAUCUUCUUUAACUGACAUCGGCUCAAUAAAGCUGCUGCCAGGCCAUCUACAACACUUCCUGAUGG